AGCAAUCAAGAAAGCAGGAAAGAACGGGUGAAGCGAUAGGGCUAUGCGUAAGUGACAUGGUGGUCAUGCUGUUGGAUACAGAUGGAGCGUGUGAAGAAUAAACAAGACCCGUCAAAGUAGUUGAAGAAACCAGAAACAAUAAGUCAAUGAAGCAAAGUAUUUGCACUAUUUGAAGAAAGCAAAUAGGGUGAACCAAUCAUCACUUUAAACUUAAAACAAGAAGUUGUUAAGGGGAAGAAUCAACCAAGCGAGAUGACACAGCACUUGAUUGAA
rnacentral:ncRNA from 1 species